GCGAAGGUGGCGGAAUUGAUAGACGCGCUAGCUUCAGGUGUUAGUGUCUUAACGGACGUGAGGGUUCAAGUCCCUCUCUUCGCACCA
rnacentral:tRNA from 1 species